rnacentral:rRNA from 1 species
GUGUCAGCAGCCGCGGUAAUACGAAGGGGGCUAGCGUUGUUCGGAAUUACUGGGCGUAAAGGGCGCGUAGGCGGCCGAUCGAGUCAGGCGUGAAAAUCCCGGGCUUAACCUGGGGACUGCGCUUGAGACUGAUGGGCUUGAAUUCGGGAGAGGAUGGCGGAAUUCCCAGUGUAGAGGUGAAAUUCGUAGAUAUUGGGAAGAACACCGGUGGCGAAGGCGGCCAUCUGGCCCGAGAUUGACGCUGAGGCGCGAAAGCGUGGGGAGCAAACAGGAUUAGAUACCCCUGGUAGUCCACGCUGUAAACGAUGAGUGCUAGACGCUGGGGGGAUUCCUUUCGGUGUCGCAGCUAACGCAUUAAGCACUCCGCCUGGGGAGUACGGCCGCAAGGUUAAAACUCAAAUGAAUUGGCGGG